rnacentral:tRNA from 1 species
AGGAUGAUAGUUAAUUAUAACAAUUGGGUUGCAUUCAAGUAGUACUGAAAUAUUUCAGUUCAUCUUU